rnacentral:rRNA from 1 species
ACAACUUUCAACAACGGAUCUCUUGGCUCUUGCAUCGAUGAAGAACGCAGCGAAAUGCGAUAAGUAAUGUGAAUUGCAGAAUUCAGUGAAUCAUCGAAUCUUUGAACGCAUCUUGCACUCCUUGGUAUUCCUUGGAGUAUGCCUGUUUGAGUGUCAUUAA